GAAGUCCUUGGGGUUGAGUGA
rnacentral:miRNA from 1 species